rnacentral:rRNA from 1 species
UACGGAGGGAGCUAGCGUUGUUCGGAAUUACUGGGCGUAAAGCGCGCGUAGGCGGCUUUGUAAGUUAGAGGUGAAAGCCCGGGGCUCAACCCCGGAAUUGCCUUUAAGACUGCAUCGCUUGAAUCCGGGAGAGGUGAGUGGAAUUCCGAGUGUAGAGGUGAAAUUCGUAGAUAUUCGGAAGAACACCAGUGGCGAAGGCGGCUCACUGGACCGGUAUUGACGCUGAGGUGACGAAAGCG